rnacentral:rRNA from 1 species
AGAACGAACGCUGGCGGCGUGCCUAACACAUGCAAGUCCAACGUGAAAGGGGAGCAAUCCCCCGGUAGGGUGGCAAACGGGUGAGUAAUACAUGGGUGAUCUACCUUAGGGAUGGGGGAUAUCCUUCCGAAAGGAGGGGCAAUACCGAAUAUUGUCCGGAGCCGUGAAGGGGUUCCGGGGAAAGGGAGGGACCUCUGAGUACAAGCUUUCGCCUUAAGAUGAGCCCAUGGCCCAUCAGCUAGUUGGUAGGUAAAGGCCUACCAAGGCUACGACGGGUCGCUGGUCUGAGAGACGACCAGCCACACUGGGACUGGAGCACGGCCCAGACUCCUACGGGAGGCAGC